rnacentral:rRNA from 1 species
UACGUAGGGUGCAAGCGUUAUCCGGAAUUAUUGGGCGUAAAGAGCUCGUAGGCGGUUUGUCGCGUCGAAUGUGAAAACCCGGGGCUCAACCCCGGGCCUGCAUUCGAUACGGGCAGACUAGAGUUCGGUAGGGGAGUCUGGAAUUCCUGGUGUAGCGGUGAAAUGCGCAGAUAUCAGGAAGAACACCCGUGGCUAAGGCGGCUCUCUAGUACGGUACUGACGCUGAGACGCGAAAGCGUGGGGAGCGAACAGG